rnacentral:rRNA from 1 species
AUUGAACGCUGGCGGCAGGCCUAACACAUGCAAGUCGAGCGGAGCGGCGGACGGGUGAGUAAUGCCUAGGAAUCUGCCUGUUAGUGGGGGAUAACGUCCGGAAAUGGGAGCUAAUACCGCAUCCUUUCAGAUGAGCUUAGGUCGGCUUAGCUAGUUGGUGGGGUAAAGGCCUACCAAGGCGACGAUCCGUAGCUGGUCUGAGAGGAUGAUCAGUCACACUGGGACGUAGACACGGCCCAGACUCCGACGGGAGGCAGCAGUGGGGAAUAUUGGGCAAUGGGCGCAAGCCUGAUCCAGCCAUACCGCGUGAGUGAAGAAGGCCUUCGGGUUGUAAAGCCCUUUUGUUGGGAAAGCGGUACCCAAAGAAUAAGCCCCGGCUAACUUCGUGCCAGCAGCCGCGGUAAUUC